rnacentral:rRNA from 1 species
AGCGAACGCUGGCGGCAGGCUUAACACAUGCAAGUCGAGCGGGCAUAGCAAUAUGUCAGCGGCAGACGGGUGAGUAACGCGUGGGAACGUACCUUUUGGUUCGGAACAACACAGGGAAACUUGUGCUAAUACCGGAUAAGCCCUUACGGGGAAAGAUUUAUCGCCGAAAGAUCGGCCCGCGUCUGAUUAGCUAGUUGGUG